UCCCCUGCCUGGUAGGGGAGAUACCAUGAUCAUGAAGGGGGUAUUACAAGGGCAAGGUUUAUCCAUGGCACUAUGGAUAUGCUGACCCCUGCAGUUUCCCCAAACAUGAGAAAUGGGACUACAUAAUAUGUGGUCGUGAGGACUGGGUUCAUGCUUUCCCCC
ensembl:snRNA U1 U1 spliceosomal RNA